GAUAUGAUGAUGUAAAAGAAAUAUGGAGAAGAAAUAAUUUUUUUUUAAUUUUUCUCUCUUCCCAAACCCUUAGGAACAAAUCUAGGAUUUCUAGGUUUUUCGAUCAUCCAAAAAGAGAGGACUCUCCUCUAUUUUUUUUUUCACACCAUGAAACCAUGCCCCACCUUCCCACCAUGAAAACCACUUUCUCAAGUCUCUUACAUGCACAAAAGAAAAAUAAAACCCCC
rnacentral:lncRNA from 1 species